AGGAGGAGCGGGAGGACGCGCUGCCGCCGGCCCCGAGGGGAACAGGAGCCACAGCCCCGGCAGCCGGCAGGAGAAGCGGGAGGAGCGCUGACUAACGGCGGGGAGCGGCUUUGGCAGGCGGCGAGCGGCAGCCGGCGCCACUCCCUCCUUCCUCGCUGAGUUCCCGCCCCGGUGUAUCAGGUGCAGCAGCUCCCCCUAGGCGGCCCCAGCUCCACGCCGCCCGGCCCGUCUCGAUUCGACCCGGCCGAGCCGUCCCGCCGCGCUCCGCCCCCUGCCCGCCCCCUGCGGGGGGAUGGCGCGCUGCCCGGCCCGCUACGGGUGAGGCCUUGGGGGUAAAGUUUGGAGAGCGUUCUGCGUGAGGACCGGGAGCCAGGGGACACCCAGCUCCAGCUCAGGUGUGGGGUUAGCGGUGCCAGAGCUUGGUUCCUUGUCUGAAAUGACCGUUAAAUUGCAAGUUAUCAGCGUAAGGAAAAAGAAAAAAAAAUCAUGUUUUCAUAGUUUGCGUGUGGACGUGCUGGUAAUUCCCACUCCCAUCGGCUGUGUUUCAGAUCCCAAAUUAAAUCUUGAGAAAGGAUGGGAUGCCCAGCCUUCAUUUCAUCUCUGUUUAUUUUGUGUAAUUAGCAUUACAGCACUGAGAAUGCCAGAGGUGCCUCCUCUGUUAAAAACAGCCACCAAAGCUCAGUGCCUUGAUUCCAGAAUAGGUGCAUUUGGAUGCAGGGACAGUUCUAACAGCAGUUGGGUGGACUUUGACUGGAUUUACCAGAAUUAG
rnacentral:lncRNA from 1 species